AUAGAAAAAUAGGGACCACUUUAGUGGGAAGGUAAAAAUAUUCUGUACACCUGUGUUUAGUCAUGCUGGCCACAUGACCAUGGAGACAUCUUUGGACAGCGCUGGCUCUUAACGAGAGGAGCACCGCCCCCUAGAGCCGGAAACGACUAGCACAUAUGUGCAAGUGGAACCUUUUACCUUUAUUUAAUGAUAUUAGAUGGGAAGGAGAAAAGAAAUUGCAACAUAUUAGUUUGAUAAUGGCUAUUUGGCCAUCAGCAGCAGAAAUUGCUGGAUAUUUAUUUUUGCAGAAAUUGUGCAAUUAUGUAAAAAUAUUUUGGGAGUGUUCUUUGCAUUUUAUCAUGGUAGAUGAUAGAAAUGCCACAUACAGAGUCCCAGCCUUUUUCUUCCUUGCCUGCCCCAUGAUUUUUAGCCACAGAAUUCUCUAGCUAGCAUCUCUUGGGGAUAUGAGCACUCAUGCUAUAGUUAGAGAUUGUGGCUCCUCCUAUAAUGAGAAAGUGAGAGAAGAAGAAGAAGGGUUUCAAAGUUUAUCUUUUCCAAACAGUUCCAAGAAUUCAGUGCAUGUCUGUUCAGAUUGUGUCAAGAAUGAGGCACACCAGUGGAAGUUACCAUAUGAGUAGCAAAUAUAUUGGGGGAGUUUGGGGCAGUGAGAAAACCAGGGUAAAAUUUCAGAUAUAAAGGCUGUUGUGCCUUGCAGGGGGCCUUCAUGGAGAAGAGCUGUAGGAAUAUUGAUUUGAAGAGAAAAGGGAUUGUGGUUUUGACCACAGGAUCUCCAUCUUUAAUCGCAACUCCUGCUGUGAUCUCCUUCACUUGCAAGUGAUUUCGAAUUUAAACAUUUAAACUUAUGCAAAAUUUCUAAAAUUUAAAAUAGUAUGUGUGUGUGUGUGUGUAUGCGUUGCGAGGUGGUGUUGGGAUAAUUGAAUGGAGCUGAAUGUUUACUGGCCAGAUGCCCUUCCUGUCGCCAAUGGGGCGUUCGCAGCAUAUAUAUUCUCAUUGUGCCCAGAGAGAGGAACGUCUACCUCUACCUAGGAUUGAACUCACAACCUCCUGAUUGUGAAGGAAGAGCUCCACUUCUAGUUCACCACACCACACUAAAAUAGUAAAAAUAUAUUUAAUCAAUUUUCCUUCUUUUCUUUCCUUGGUGUCACAUUUUAAUGCACUAUCUUUAUCACGUCUCAUCUUAUUGUAGUUAGGUGUUGGAAAUGUUUGCAAUGAUCCCAAGGCCUUUGAAUCUC
rnacentral:lncRNA from 1 species